UCUUAAAAAAAUAUUUUCGCCCCCACUAAAGCUUAUGACUGGCUCCGCCACUGCUCCGGAGUCCUUCUUUUUAUCCGGUUCGCACUCAAGGUAGAAUUGUAAUGGCAUGUUGCUUAGAGCAUCUCCAAUGGUGUUGGCUAUAAUCGUUGGCUAAAUUGGAUCCGUAAGACAUUAUGUAAAAUUUGCCGAACCUGUAAGACAUUGUGCUUCAUCCGUAAGACAUUAUGUAAAAUUUGCCGAACCUGUAAGACAUUGUGCUUCAAUGGUAUUAGCUAUAUUGGUUGGCUAUAAUUUAAAAAUAGUAUGUUAUUAAUAUUUAGAUUGUUAUAAAUAGAAUAUAUCAGUUUAAUAUGGUAAUAAAUAAUAUGUAAUCAGUGUGAAGGAGGAAAAUAAAUUGUGGGAGAUGACGUGGAAUUCGCUACAGAUCUGUAGCUGGGAGAUGACGUGGAAUUCGCUACAGAUCUGUAGCGGAUCGACAAAUAUAGCCAUCCAUAGGGGAUGACUAUAAUUAUACACAAAGGAUUGGUGUGGUUCGAGUUCUAUUUUUUGGGAACAUUGGCUAUAAAAUUUAAUUUCGGAAAAUCACAUGGACUUUUAGCCAAGGGCUUGUGAGGGUUGGAGAUGCUCUUACUACAUAAUUUUUUUUCAAAGAUACAUGCCAAGUACAAUAAAGACUGAUGAUGAUGAUGAGGAUGAGGAUGAGGAUGAUGAUGAGGAGGAGGAGGAGGAGGAGAAGGAGGAGGAGGAUGAUAAUGAUCUCGAAGAUGAUCCUCGAUAUAUUGAAGUUCUUAGAACAAUUUAGACAUCUCAUUUUUGGACCAACUAUAGAAAUCAAUUUGCUUUGGGAAUGUACAAUGAGUGGAGAAAUAGAAGUUAGAAAUCAGGUAAAUGUCUUGCCUCACCUCCAAGAACUCCAUUUCUCUCUUUCCUCACAUUAUUUUAAUC
rnacentral:lncRNA from 1 species